CGGGUGAGUAACACGUGGAUAACCUACCUAUAAGACUGGGAUAACUUCGGGAAACCGGAGCUAAUACCGGAUAAUAUAUUGAACCGCAUGGUUCAAUAGUGAAAGACGGUUUUGCUGUCACUUAUAGAUGGAUCCGCGCCGCAUUAGCUAGUUGGCAAGGUAACGGCUUACCAAGGCAACGAUGCGUAGCCGACCUGAGAGGGUGAUCGGCCACACUGGAACUGAGACACGGUCCAG
rnacentral:rRNA from 1 species